UACGAAGGGGGCUAGCGUUGCUCGGAAUCACUGGGCGUAAAGGGUGCGUAGGCGGGUCUUUAAGUCAGGGGUGAAAUCCUGGAGCUCAACUCCAGAACUGCCUUUGAUACUGAAGAUCUUGAGUUCGGGAGAGGUGAGUGGAACUGCGAGUGUAGAGGUGAAAUUCGUAGAUAUUCGCAGGAACACCAGUGGCGAAGGCGGCUAACUGGUCCAUAACUGACGCUGAGGUGCGAAAGCGUGGGGAGCAAACAGG
rnacentral:rRNA from 1 species